GGCCGAAAUGCCGCUCAGCUGCUCUAUUUCCAUGUUCUUCUGCAUAUGCUAUUACUUUCAAUUUAUAGCCCACAUCAUAUGAAUACCUUCUAUUUUUUUCCAUUACCGUAUGAAACUAGCUACCGUACUACUACAAAACUAGCUACUUCGCUGAAAUUUCACUGCUCUCUAAAUGAGUGCUGAUUGGGGAAAAAAAUGUGUGGAUGGGAAAGUCCAUCUACACGUGCACAAUCUUGUGAAGGGAUAAUCGGCAAUUUUAAAAUUGUGGGAGGGGGAAAAUGUGUGGAUGGACAUUUUUAUAUUAAUUUCGAGUAUAAGACGCACCUGAAUUUUGGAGGCAAUUUUUCGAAGAAAAAAGUGUGUCUUAUAGUCCGUAAAAUAGGAUACAUUCAAAAAUAUUGGUGGUAGUUCAAAUCCAUAAUAACUUGAGAAGGAAUUUUUCAUAAUCACAAUAUUAUAUAAAUGGAG
rnacentral:lncRNA from 1 species